rnacentral:snoRNA from 1 species
GUGACGAGAACUAACCCGGCGGAUUUGUGACGAGGGGGUCAGGGACUGA